CGAUAACGAACGAGACCUUAACCUGCUAAAUAGUUAGGCCAACGCUUGUUGGUCGUCAACUUCUUAGAGGGACUAUUGACUAUUAGUCAAUGGAAGUUUGAGGCAAUAACAGGUCUGUGAUGCCCUUAGAUGUUCUGGGCCGCACGCGCGCUACACUGAUCAAGUCAGCGAGUCUACAACCUUGGCCGGAAGGUCUGGGUAAUCUUUUGAAACUUGAUCGUGCUGGGGAUAGUCCAUUGCAAUUAUUGGACUUCAACGAGGAAUUCCUAGUAAGCGUGAGUCAUCAGCUCGCGUUGAUUACGUCCCUGCCCUUUGUACACACCGCCC
rnacentral:rRNA from 1 species